rnacentral:lncRNA from 1 species
GGUAAACGUUGAGUUUUUCCCAUUUCGUCCGUUGACGUAUGGUUGUAUCCCUUCCGGUCAUUCAUUAAUGUCUGGUUACCUCUCCGUUGGUCUUGGUAAACGUCGAGUUUUUCCUAGUUGUCCGUUGGCAUCUAGUUGUGAUUUCUAUUCCCAUUCGUCAUCGUUGCGAUGUCUGUAUGUGGCCGUACCCUUUGAAAACAAAA